UACGUAGGGGGCUAGCGUUGUCCGGAAUCAUUGGGCGUAAAGCGCGUGUAGGCGGCCCGGUAAGUCCGCUGUGAAAGUCGGGGGCUCAACCCUCGGAUGCCGGUGGAUACUGUCGGGCUUGAGUACGGAAGAGGCGAGUGGAAUUCCUGGUGUAGCGGUGAAAUUCGUAGAUAUCGGGAGGAACACCGGUGGCGAAGGCGGCUCUCUGGACGGAUACUGACGCUGAGGCGCGAAAGCGUGGGGAUCAAACAGG
rnacentral:rRNA from 1 species